rnacentral:lncRNA from 1 species
UGCACCGUGGCCAUGUCAGAUGGCUUGUGCCCCAUCCUCUGCACAGCACUGGGAGGGUCCCUGGCUCCUGCCCUCAACUGCUGGGGCAUGGCAGAUGCAAACUCACAGCUUGGUCAUUGCAUUCGUGUGAAACAGCAGAUUAACCAGAAAGGUCAUCCAAGGAGACUGCUUUUUGUGUCAGAUUUGGUUUUAUGUAUCUCUAAUUUUAACAGACUAACUUAAGUCAAAAACAUGUAGAUGUCAUUACUCCUCAACAAUUCCCUUUAUCAUCCAAACUUGUAGUCUCAAGGAAGAAUCCAAGUUAGCUUGAGUCAUCUCUGAAGGCUGGUGUUGCAGGAUUAAGGGAGAGGAAUUCACUUUUUAAUUGAACCUCUUCAUGAGGUUGCAUUCACUAUGUUGCUUGAGAUUGAGACUCAGGUGUUCCUCCUUGGAAUGCUGGUGUAGUGUUAGUGCUGUGAAGCAUCUUUCCAGUCCCAGAAUGUCUUAGAAAUCAGGGUGGAAGUCCAUUCAACCCAAAUUGUUGGUGUCCUGAGUACAAUUUUGGAAAUGUAUAGCAACAUUGGAUGUCUUCUAACACCUUUCUUGGUUUCUUCAUUCAGGAGGGAUAUUGCACAUAUCCAUGAAGUGACUGAUACAGGCACUGCACAGAUGCUCAGAAAAAUGCUGAGGAGGAGAAAUUUUAAUGGAAGAGGGCUAGGAACACUGAGCCUGAACAGCUCCUUGCUCUUGAGAUUGGUGCCAUUACGUCUACUUGGGCCAAGCUCGAUGAGGUAACAUGGAAGGACAGAGUCCUGCUACCAGGUAACCCUGCCCAGUACCAGGGCUCAACUCAGGGAAGAGGCAUUUGCUCAUCCUCCUGUAUAUUGUACUAUUUACACAGCCAUCAGUUUCAUCCCAUUGCCAGCUGGGCAGGUCAUGAGGGGCAUUUUUGACACAAGGGACUCUCCCACUGGUACCAUUUAAAAAAAUGCAAUUAAUACUUUUUAAAAAAACCCCUUAAACUAAUUUCCUUUCCUGAUUCCUUUCACUGUCCUUGCAAAUACAGCAACGUUUGAUUUACCACCACCUACACAAAGAGAUCAAACCUUCACAUUUGCCUGGAUUUAACCACCUCACACAGCAGGGAAAGGGCUGCCCUCCGGCACCAUCUGGC